rnacentral:lncRNA from 1 species
AGAGGGUUAGUUAAUUUAUUGUCUAGAAAUGACAUUUAAGUUGGUCCUUGAGAAAUGUUAGAAUUUUUAUAGCAGUGAUAAUGGAAAGGCAUUCUAAGUGGAUAAAAACUGUGGUUAGAAACAUAGACUGGAGAGCAGGGUAUCUGAAACAAUGCUGAGCCAUUGUUUGCUAAUAGUGGACUAUGUAAGCAAGGCAGUGGAAUAUAGGCUAGAAGGGUAUAUUGAAGCCAAAUUAAAGAAGGAUGUGAAGGUUAGGCUAAGAAGUGUGAUGAGCUUUAUUUAGGUAAUAGGCAAUGAGGAGAAAUUGAAACAUGAAGGAACAUAAUUUGAGGUGUGAUUAUUUGAGUUUUUAAAAUAUUAUCACUGUGCAUCAGAAUGGGUUAGGGAAGGCUUAAAUCCUGGAUGCUGGCUCAGCACCUAUUAGAGCAAUUAAAAUGAGAAAUGAUGCAGACUAAACUAGAAUUUCAGGUAAAAAUGGGAAAAAUAGGCGUUAAAAAAUGGUAUAAACGUUAAAAAACUACACUUGACUGAGUUAGAAUAUGGAGGAAAAGGAAGUAUGGAGAUCAAAAGAAAACAUCAGGAUUUGGGAGCUUGGACACAGGUUUUGCUUUUCCAUCUUUUAUGGAGUAUGAUUUACUUUCAAAUCGCCUCUGAAGAAACCUAUUAGUCAGUCAACUGCAGAAAAACUUCUCCAUAAUAUCUACCUGGAAUAUAUCUUGCUUCCAUUCACCUUCUUCCUUUGUCAAUGACUCUCAGGAGGAAUACAGUCUUUGUCAGUCAUAAAGGAAGGAAGAGUCAAUGACAUAGGAUCCCAAACACGGCUAAAAUGUCUCAUAUCUAAUGCUGUACUCCCCCUCUUAACCAAAAUUUGUGUCAGGAAAAGGCACAAAACUCCACCAAAGGAUUACGGUACCUUAAUCCAAGGAAGUUGUAUAGAGGCUAGUAUUUAAAAUUGUCAUUUUGAUAGGCCCCACUAGUGGAUUUUAUCCCCUGUUAGGUUGGACAAUCCUCAGUAUAUACACCUUACUACACAAAGAUUUUCAUCAUAAUUUAUUGACUUUCUGCUAUGAGAGAUGAGUGUGCUCGUGUGACACCCAAUUAAACACUUAAUCCAUUCAAUUACAUGAAGUACAAAU